AUUGAACGCUGGCGGCAGGCCUAACACAUGCCAGUCGAGCGGAUGAAGGGAGCUUGCUCCUGGAUUCAGCGGCGGACGGGUGAGUAAUGCCUAGGAAUCUGCCUGGUAGUGGGGGAUAACGUCCGGAAACGGGCGCUAAUACCGCAUACGUCCUGAGGGAGAAAGUGGGGGAUCUUCGGACCUCACGCUAUCAGAUGAGCCUAGGUCGGAUUAGCUAGUUGGUGGGGUAAAGGCCUACCAAGGCGACGAUCCGUAACUGGUCUGAGAGGAUGAUCAGUCACACUGGAACUGAGACACGGUCCAGACUCCUACGGGAGGCAGCAGUGGGGAAUAUUGGACAAUGGGCGAAAGCCUGAUCCAGCCAUGCCGCGUGUGUGAAGAAGGUCUUCGGAUUGUAAAGCACUUUAAGUUGGGGGGAAGGGCAGUAAGUUAAUACCUUGCUGUUUUGACGUUACCAACAGAAUAAGCACCGGCUAACUUCGUG
rnacentral:rRNA from 1 species